rnacentral:rRNA from 1 species
GACGAACGCUGGCGGCGUGCUUAACACAUGCAAGUCGAACGGUGAAGCGCCUUCCUUUUUGGUGGGUGUGGAUGAGUGGCGAACGGGUGAGUAACACGUGAGUAACCUGCCCCCUUCUUCUGGAUAACCGCAUGAAAGUGUGGCUAAUACGGGAUAUUCUGGGUCUGUCGCAUGAUGGGUCUGGGAAAGAUAUUGUUUCGGUGGGGGAUGGGCUCGCGGCCUAUCAGCUUGUUGGUGGGGUGAUGGCCUACCAAGGCGGUGACGGGUAGCCGGCCUGAGAGGGUGGACGGUCACACUGGGACUGGGACACGGCCGAGACUCCUACGGGAGGCAGCAGUGGGGAAUAUUGCACAAUGGGCGCAAGCCUGAUGCAGCGACGCCGCGUGAGGGAUGGAGGCCUUCGGGUUGUGAACCUCUUUCGCCAGUGAAGCAGGCCUGCCUCGUUUGUGGGUGGGUUGACGGUAGCUGGAUAAGAAGCGCCGGCUAACUACGUG